GACGAACGCUGGCGGCGUGCUUAACACAUGCAAGUCGAACGGGCCCGCCCCUGUUUUUGGGGGUGGGUUGAGUGGCGAACGGGUGAGUAUCACGUGAGUAACCUGCCCCCUGCUCCUGGAUAACUGCUUGAAAGGGCGGCUAAUACGGGGUGUGCCGGCUGGUCCGCAUGGGCCUGGUCGGGAUAGUUUCAUCUUCGGGUGUUUCGGUGGGGGAUGGGCUCGCGGCCUAUCAGCUUGUUGGUGGGGUGAUGGCCCACCAAGGCGGUGACGGGUAGCCGGCCUGAGAGGGUGGGCGGCCACACUGGGACGGAGACACGGCCCAGACUCCUGCGGGAGGCAGCAGUGGGGGGUAUUGCACAAUGGGCGGAAGCCUGAUGCAGCGACGUCGCGUGAGGGAUGGAGGCCGUCGGGUGGUGAACCUCUUUCUCCGGUGGUGAAGGCCCUGUCCGUUGCGGCGGGGUUGACGGUAGCCGGGGAUGAAGCGCCGGCUAACUACGUG
rnacentral:rRNA from 1 species